rnacentral:rRNA from 1 species
UGUUUCGGCUAGGGGGCCAUCCCGGCUUACCAACCCGAUGCAAACUGCGAAUACCGGAGAAUGUUAUCACGGGAGACACACGGCGGGUGCUAACGUCCGUCGUGAAGAGGGAAACAACCCAGACCGCCAGCUAAGGUCCCAAAGUCAUGGUUAAGUGGGAAACGAUGUGGGAAGGCCCAGACAGCCAGGAUGUUGGCUUAGAAGCAGCCAUCAUUUAAAGAAAGCGUAAUAGCUCACUGGUCGAGUCGGCCUGCGCGGAAGAUGUAACGGGGCUAAACCAUGCACCGAAGCUGCGGCAGCGACACUGUGUGUUGUUGGGUAGGGGAGCGUUCUGUAAGCCUGCGAAGGUGUCCCGUGAGGGA